rnacentral:rRNA from 1 species
UACGUAGGGGGCAAGCGUUGUCCGGAAUUAUUGGGCGUAAAGGGUGCGUAGGCGGUUUGGCAAGUCUUGUGUGAAAUCUUUGGGCUCAACCCAAAGCCUGCACAAGAAACUGCCGGGCUUGAGUAUGGGAGAGGUGAGUGGAAUUUCCGGUGUAGCGGUGAAAUGCGUAGAUAUCGGAAGGAACACCUGUGGCGAAAGCGGCUCACUGGACCAUUACUGACGCUGAGGCACGAAAGCUAGGGGAGCAAACAGG